GUUCUCAAAGCAGUUUAACUGCUUUGGGGCAAUCUGGGCAUGUAAAUUAGGCAGCGGCCAGACAACCGUAGUGAUGGUAUCCACAGAUGGUGGUUGCUUUUGAUCCCACUUCAUCUACUAAAUCCCAUCUCACAUUG
rfam:Ricinus communis cultivar Hale ctg_1100012328589, whole genome shotgun sequence.